rnacentral:rRNA from 1 species
CGCGAAUUCGCCCUUCGGGGUGCCCAGGCGCGAAAACUUUACAAUGCACGAAAGUGUGAUAAGGGAAUCCAAAGUGCUCAUGUUUAACAUGGGCUUUUGCCAAGGGUAAAUACCUUGGAGAAUAAGUGGUGGGUAAGACUGGUGCCAGCAGCCGCGGUAACCCCAGCGCCACAAGUGGGAGCCACAAUUAUUUGGCCUAAAGCGUCCGUAGCUGGUUAUGUAAAUCUUUUGUGAAAUCGGAAGGCUCAACUUUCCGGCGUGCAGAAGACACUGCAUAACUUGAGAUUGGGAGGGGUAAGGAGUAUUCCUAGGGAACCGGUAAAAUGGGAUAAUCCUAGGAGGACUACCUGUGGCGAAGGCGCCUUACCAGAACAAGUCUGACAGUGAGGGACGAAGGCUAGGGGAGCGAACCGGAUUAGAUACCCGAGUAGUCCUAGCAGUAAACUCUGCGGGCUAGGUGUUACACCAUCUAUGUGAUUGUGUAGUGUCGUAGCGAAGGCAUUAAGCCCGCCGCCUGGGAAGUAUGGUCGCAAGACUGAAACUUAAAGGAAUUGGCGGGGGAGCAC